rnacentral:rRNA from 1 species
AACGCGAAGAACCUUACCAAGGCUUGACAUAUAGGGAAAAGUGGCAGAGAUGUCAUGACCGCAAGGGCUCUAUACAGGUGGUGCAUGGUUGUCGUCAGCUCGUGUCGUGAGAUGUUGGGUUAAGUCCCGCAACGAGCGCAACCCUCGUUCUGUGUUGCCAGCAUUUAGUUGGGGACUCACAGGAGACUGCCGGGGUUAACUCGGAGGAAGGUGGGGAUGACGUCAAAUCAUCAUGCCCCUUAUGUCUUGGGCUGCACGCAUGCUACAAUGGCCGGUACAGAGGGCUGCAAUACCGUAAGGUGGAGCGAAUCCCAAAAAGCCGGUCUCAGUUCGGAUUGAGGUCUGCAACUCGACCUCAUGAAGUUGGAGUUGCUAGUAAUCGUAGAUCAGCAACGCUACGGUGAAUACGUUCCCGGGUCUUGUACACACCG